UGAGGAAUUUUGCGCAAUGGGGGGAACCCUGACGCAGCAACGCCGCGUGAGUGAAGAAGGCCUUUGGGUCGUAAAGCUCUGUCAACAGGGAAGAAGUUACGUAUAUUAAAUAGAUGUAUGUAUUGACGGUACCUGUGGAGGAAGCGCCGGCUAACUCCGUGCCAGCAGCCGCGGUAAUACGGGGGGCGCAGGCGUUAUUCGGAAUUAUUGGGCGUAAAGGGCGCGCAGGCGGUCUUGUCCGUCAGGUGUGGAAGCUCGGGGCUCAACCCCGGAAGUGCACUUGAAACAGCAAGGCUUGAAUACGGGAGAGGAAAGCGGAAUUCCUGGUGUAGAGGUGAAAUUCGUAGAUAUCAGGAGGAACACCGAUGGCGAAGGCAGCUUUCUGGACCGAUAUUGACGCUGAGGCGCGAAGGCGUGGGUAGCGAACGGGAUUAGAUACCCCGGUAGUCCACGCAGUAAACGUUGUACACUCGGUGUAGCGGAUAUUAAAAUCUGCUG
rnacentral:rRNA from 1 species